AAAAAAGCAAAACGAAAAGGUCCUUGCCUGCAGUCUAACUCCACUUUACUUACAGUAUUAUGACCAUACUCAUUUAACAAUACCAGAAGCGUGUCUCCGAUGGAACAUCUUUCUCCGCUAAAAGAAUGAAAUAUUUUUCUAUAUCUAGUUUUACAUCUGUGUCAACUGAGGUAUACGAAAAACAAGCAAUCUGAUGAGAUUCACAGGGGGGUUUCUUUCAACUUUCUGUUCUCGCUACUUCAUUUGGAGAUUGUCAUCAUUGAGUAUUUCCAAUUCAGACUGCUCCAUGGACAAGCCUU